UACGGAGGGUGCAAGCGUUAUCCGGAUUCACUGGGUUUAAAGGGUGCGUAGGCGGGUUGGUAAGUCCGUGGUGAAAUCCCCAAGCUUAACUUGGGAACUGCCGUGGAUACUAUCAAUCUUGAAUAUCGUGGAGGUAAGCGGAAUAUGUCAUGUAGCGGUGAAAUGCUUAGAUAUGACAUAGAACACCAAUUGCGAAGGCAGCUUACUACACAGUUAUUGACACUGAGGCACGAAAGCGUGGGGAUCAAACAGG
rnacentral:rRNA from 1 species